GCAAUGCUAAACACCAUCUCUCCUAGUCUCCCUCCCUCCCUCAUCUCCUGCUGAUCACUUUGUGCUGUUAGCAUAAUUCCAAAUAAAAUAUGAAGGUAGCUUUGUGGAUAGUGGUGGCAACAUGGAUUUCCUGGACCAUUGUAUUUGGAACCGCCAGGGUUUAUCCAUUAACAGCAAAUGAUGACUACACACUUGGCGUCUUCCCCACGGCAAGCUUCAGCACUAAAGAUGCCACUGCGACCAGCUACUCCACAUUCCUUAGUGAUCUCCGAGGGAAACUGGGAAGUGGUAAUAGCAAUGGGAUACCCGUGUUGCCUGCCACAGUGGCCCAAGAUAAGCAGUAUCUUCUAGUGGAACUCACAAAUUCACAGAACUAUAAGGUCACAGUAGCAUUGAAUCUCAUCAACAUAUAUGUUGUGGCUUAUAAAGCUGGAAGUAAGGCCUUCUUCUUCAGCGAUGCUCCUGAUAAAGCAACUGAUUAUCUUUUCAAAGAUAAAGACACAAACCAAAUCAAAUUAAAAUUCACUGGUAGCUAUGUGGAUCUGCAGAAGAAUGGAGCAGAUAGAUUGAAAACCAAUUUGGGAGUCCUGGCAUUAGAUGAUUCAAUCUUUACACUCAACAAGUAUGAUAACACCCAGCCAACUAAAAUUGCUGGUCCUCUUGUGGUUACUAUCCAGAUGGUUGCAGAAGCUGCAAGAUUCACAUAUAUCGAGAGAAAAGUGCUGAGUAAUUUUGCCCAAAGAUUUCUUCCACUUGAAGACGUGACUAGCCGUGAGAACAAGUGGAAAUCUCUUUCCACUGGAAUCCAGAAAGCUGAUAAAAAUGGAAACUUUCCAACACCUGUUCAAUUGAAGAAUUCUGAUGGUUCGGCCAAUGUUGUGUCCACAGUUAAACAAGCAAAACCUGACAUGGGAAUCUUGUUGUAUGUAGCCAAUAAGAACUCCAAACCAAGCCUUGAACAAACACAAUCAUCAUUUUGGUUGUCCACCCUUAUUCAGAACUACUAGUGGCUGCCAUCGCUUGCUGCAUAUGUAUCUGGCAAUCUAGCUUGUAGUUUAAAAUAAUUACAAUCAAGGG
rnacentral:misc_RNA from 1 species